rnacentral:lncRNA from 10 species
GGAAUGAGGCACUGGCACAGAUCAGAGAGCCCCAAGAGGUUUGGACAGCAUCGUGGAGGUCUGGGGCCGCCCAGCCCAGUCUGGCCAGGAGGGCUGCUUGGUGGAUGUCUUUCAUGGCAUGUUGAGAGCUGGCAGGCUCCAGAGAAACAAAACUGAACAAAUAGAGGGGCUCAUAGCCUGGUGGGAAGACAGUGGCACUGGGGGACACAGAGGCUCCCUGAGCUGUGGGAAACAUGUGGAGGUGAUCUUUGGGGUCCUGGCACCCCCUCCUCCAUGCCCCUCAUCCCUGCAAGUACCAUAAUCCUUUUACAGUAUUAGUGGCUGAUGGAGAGUUACUUCCAGGAUGAUUUGUUUAAAGAGGAAAUUCUUGAAGCCCUCAAACCCUCCAGUGCUAACAGGGGGCAGGGGAUCAAAAUGGCAACGUUUUAGGCCUCCUGCUACAUCUGGGAAGGGGGAAGAAGUAAUCACCCACUGACCUGAGGUCAGGAUGUCAGGGGCCUGGUCCAUGCCCUGUCACUCCAGGCUGGGUGAGCUGGGGCAAGUCACUAAGCUCUCAAAGCCUCCCUCCCAGGUUUCUGUGCAGCUUAGAGGAGAUGCUGUAAUUGGCAGGGAAGGGGCAGACCAUGGUGUGAUGCACGGCUGGAGCCUCCCUGUCUUCAUCUUGCAGUAGCCCUGUGGCCCUUUCAUAUCCCUGGAUGCACACUUGCUGCUGAGUUUCCUAUGGGUCAUGUUCACAUUGAUUUAUGUGUAAACAGUUGUUGAAAAUAAUACAAUAUUUUAUGAGGCUAAACAGAAGACAAGGGGCCCUAAUAAAAGCAGAUGCAUAAACCAGUGGAACAGAAUAGAGAACCCAGGAACAAAUCCACACAUCUACAGUGAACUCAUUUUCAACAAAGUUUCCAAGAACAUACAUUGAGGAAAUGUAUUUAAUAAGUGGUGCUGAGAAAACUAGAUAUCCAUAGGCAGAAGAAUGAAACUAGACCCCUAUUUCUCACCAUAUGCAAAAAUCAAAUCAAAAUGAAUUAAAGGCUGAAAUAAGACCUCAAACUGUGAAAUUAUUACAAUAAAACAUUGGAGAAACUCUCCAGGACAUUGAAGUGGGCAAAGACUUCUUGAGCAAUAUCCCAUAGGCACAGGCAACCAAAGCAAAAAUGGACAAAUGAGAUCACAUCGAGUUGAAAAGCUUCUGCACAGCAAAGGACAAGAUCAACAAAGUGAAGACAGACGCCACAGAAUGGGAGAAAUAUUUGCAAACUACCCAUCUGACAAGGGAUUAAUAACCAGGAUAUAUAAGGAGCUCAAAUAACUCUCUGGGAAAAAAAUCUAAUAAUACCACUUUUAAAAUUGGCAAAAGAUCUGAACAGACGUUUCUCAAAAGAAGACAAACAAAUGGCAAAUAUGUGUAUGAUCCAAAAGACAGGCAAUAACAAAUGCUGGCGAGGAUGUGGAGAAAAGGGAAUCCUCAUACACUGUUGGUGGAAAUGUAAAUUAGUACAACCACUAUGGAGGACAGUUUGGAGGUUUCUCAAAAAAAACUAAAAAUAGAGCUACCAUAUGAGAUCUGCACUCCUAUGUUUACUGUAGCACUGCUCACAAUAGCCAAGAUUUGGAAGCAACUAAGUGUCCACCAAUAGAUAAAUGGGGCUGGGUACGGUGGCUCACAACCAUAAUCCUAGCACUUUGGGAGGCCAAGGGAGGUGGAUGGCUUGAACCCAGGAGUUUGAGAUCAGCCUGGGCAACAUGGUGAAACCCUGUCUCUACAAAGAAAUACAAAAAUUAGAUAGGUGUCAUGGCAUGUGCCUAUAGUCCCAGCUCCUUGGGAGGCUGAGGUAGGAGGAUCAAUUGAGCCCAGGAGGUUGAGGCUGCAGUGAGCCAUGAUUGCUCCACUGUACUCCAGCCUAGGCAACAUAGUGAGACCCUGUCUCAAAAAAAAAAAAAUAGACGAAUGGAUAAAGAAAAUGUAGUACAUAUAUACAAUGGAGUACAAUUCAGUCAUAAAAAAGAUGAGAUCCUGUAAUUUGCGACAACGUGGAUGGAGCUGGAGAUCAUUAUGUUAACUGAAAUAAGCCAGGCACAGAAAGACAAACUUCAUAUGUUCACGCUUAUCUGUGGGUGGUAAAAAUUAAAACAGUUGAACCCAUAGAGAUAGAGAAUAGAAGGAUGGUUACCAGAGACUGGAAAGGGUAGUGGGGGUGGGGGGAGGGGUGAUGGUUAAUAGGUACAAAAAAAAUUGAAAGAAUGAAUGAGACCUAGUAUUUGCUAGCAUAAAAGGGAGACUAUAGUAAAAAUUAAUUUAAUUGUACAUUUUAAAAUAAUUAAUGCUUGAGGGAAUGAAUAGCUUAUUUACCUUGAUGUGAUUAGUACACAUUUGCAUGCCUGUAUCAAAAUAUCUCAUGUAACCCAUAAAUAUGUACCUCGACUGUGUACCCACAAAAAUUAAAAAUUAAAAAAAAAUUAAGGCCAGGCACGGUGGCUCACGCCUGUAAUCCUAGCACUUUGGAAGGCCGAGGCGGGUGGAUCACUUGAGGUCAGGAGUUCGAGACCAGCCUGGCCAACAUGGUGAAACCCCGUCUCUACCAAAACUAUUUAAAAAAUAGCUGGCUGUGGUGGCGUGUGCCUGUGAUCCCAGCUACUCGAGAGGCUGAGGCAGAAGAAUCGCCUGAACCCAGGAGGCAGAGGUUGCAGUGAGCUGAGAUCGUGCCACUACACUCCAGCCUGAACGACAGACUCCGUCUCAAAAAAAAAAGAAAGAAAGAAAGAAAAAAAGAAAAAAUUAAAAAAGAAGACAAGGGACCCUUGUGGGGUGUGGGGAGGGAGCAUCUGUGACCCACAUAUUCUGUGGCCAAAGGGGCCAAGUAUCUGAAAAGGCAGCCUCAGGACCAUUUAAAAUAGGCUUGAUGGAACCAGGUACCCCCAGGGCCUGGACAGGGGAGGCCGUGGGUCUCCAAUACGCGCUUGCCAGUCCU